AUGAAGAGGAGUUAUCAGAAGUCAGAACCUUCACCUCACUUGUCAAUUGAUCAUGAAUGUAACGCAAUGCCAUCACUUUAUAGGUGUCUGGUAGAAUUAUCACAGCCAAAAGUGAGGCUUAAAUGUGAAUUACUAAAAUACUCAAAUUUUGAGAUGUUAUCCUUGUGGCUGGGCUCCAUAGACGGAGCCAGCACUCUUGAAACCCAUCGGUAA